rnacentral:rRNA from 1 species
CCUCGGAUCAGAUAGGAUACCC